UGAUGAGGGGGUAGAAAGUGGCUGAAGCGAGAUGUUUGUCUAAAAGCACUUUUCUGUCUCCCAG
ensembl:miRNA MIR6835 microRNA 6835